rnacentral:tRNA from 1 species
GCUGUGAUGGCCGAGUGGUUAAGGUGUUGGACUUGAAAUCCAAUGGCUGUUACCCGUGCCGGUUCAAAUGCUGCUCACAGCG